GACCAAGAUGAUUCUUUAAAGGAGAACCGGGUAUUUAUGUGUGGAGAGAUUAACAUAUAACUAGCAAUAUGCUAGUGAAAAAUUUGUCCAAAAGUAAGUAAAGUUGUUCCCCUGAAGAUCAGUGUCUGCUCGGGGCAACUGUCAUGGACAUGGGAGAGUGUUGUGACUUGUGUGACAACAUAAGGUCAGAAAAGGUGACAGCAAGGUCACAAUGGAAGGGGCAGUCAAAUCCACCUAGGGAUGUUAAAGAAGAUAAGCCCUAAAUGAAGAACUGAAACAUUAUUAGGAUUUUUAUCAAGCACAACGUGGGAAUGAAUAUUCUAAGAAACAUGGAUAGAUGUAGCUCUGAGGCCUCUGUCAGUGUCAUAGGUGGAUGAAGCAAAAGCAAAGGAAAGGAAAGCCCAUACGGGAAAGAAAACGGUUCCGAAGACAUACUUCAUGCUCCAAACGGAAAUUUGAUACAGCCUCAUGGAACAGUUCUGAAACAAAAAACUAUGGGUCUAGAAUGGUGCUUUAUUAGCCAAAGAGUGCCUGAGAAUCGCUUCAGAAGCUUUCUGCAGAUGUCCUGAGUUCCUGCCCAGAGAGUCUGACCUAAGAGACGGAAGAAGGUCCCAGCAACCGUGCUCUGAAAGGGCUCUGCAUUCAAAGCAUGAAUGAGAAGUGGACUGGGUCCUAGACUGAGAGCUAACUGUCUAGCAUACAAGUCUCUGAUGACUGCUACCUUUCUUUUUUUCUCAACUAUCUAUCAGAAGUUCCAAAAACCUCCUAAAAUUAUUUCACCAUUAAUUACUUCCUUACUGUGGUAUACUCUGGGUCAAACUCGAACAAUGCCUGUACCAUUUACAUAUAAGCCGGCACUCAAAAUCACAGAGGUGGUGGAUUUUAUCCCUCUGAUAAACAUAACUCACUAGAAACAAAAAAUAAAUGUGGAGCUGGACUCACCCGUUCCACAGCCGCAUUAUGAUAUGGGAGCUCCUCCUCGCUGCAAAGGAAGAACAGUAUAUGUGAAAUAGUGGAGAUCACAGUAGCUUUUUAUUUUUAUUUAUUUAUUUUUUAAGCUUAUUUGAGAGAGAGCGAGCGAGCAAGAGAGAGAGUGCUUGCACGGAUGAGCAGGGACAGGGCAG